CGUCCCGCCCCGAGCCCCGCCCACCGCGGGGAAACCGCGCGCCCGGGGCAGGCCGGUGUCACCGAACCCUGGAGGAGCCCAGCUCCCUUCCGCUCUGAGAAGGAGAGAGAGAGGGAAGAGAGGGAAGGGAGGGAUAGAACUGAGAGGCUCGGCCUCAUGGUCGGCCCGCCGGCCGGCUUGAACAACGCUGAGGUUGAGAGGUUCUCUACCGCUGCUCUCAACUGACCAUAGAGGGCGGUGCCGGUGACUAGCCCCUGGCUGCAGGUGUGAGGAGGUAUUAACGCUUCAGCAUGACCCAUUAAAAUACCACAUCGCCUGUUUACUCCAUAGCUCUCCCUGUUCUCUUAGUACAGCAUGAAGACAGUGAGAGAGAACCAUAGAGGUCCCGUGGCGUUCUGAGUGUGUAUAUUGUUCUUCUCAGUGACCUGCCUAAACUUUGGGAAGCACAGAGUCCCUAACUGCAUCCUACGGGAAUUUCUGAAGAGCACCUUUCCAACAAGAGACAAGUACUGGAGGGAGAGACGUGGCUAGAAGCAUGGACGAGUCCUGUGGGCAAGAGCUGACAGUGGCCGGAGUUGCUAUGAUGGGAUCUGUUAUUCAACUGUCUUUAUUCUCGAAAUCCCCUUUCUUCUUUGAAGUGGCCGUGUCCUGUCUCAGCCUUGCAGAUAGCUGAGGGUGUAGGUGACUUAAACUUGGCCCAUUGCAGUCCUGAACCGAGCAUGCCCAGAAGCAUCUGUUUUUCACCACCACUAAGAAGACAGCCUCCAGUCACUUGGUAGAAAGAAUAUUUUGAUCAGCAACGAUUUUCUCACGGCAUCAGCUUCUGCCUACCAAACCUUCCUAGAUUCCUCUGUAGGUCCUUUCUCCCACCCAGGCCAUUAAAUGUUGGGACCCUC
rnacentral:lncRNA from 1 species